rnacentral:rRNA from 1 species
AGCGAACGCUGGCGGCAGGCUUAACACAUGCAAGUCGAACGCCCGGGCAACCGGGAGUGGCAGACGGGUGAGUAACGCGUGGGAACGUGCCCUUUGGUUCGGAAUAACUCAGGGAAACUUGAGCUAAUACCGGAUAAGCCCUUACGGGGAAAGAUUUAUCGCCGAAGGAUCGGCCCGCGUCCGAUUAGCUAGUUGGUAGGGUAAUGGCCUACCAAGGCGACGAUCGGUAGCUGGUCUGAGAGGAUGAUCAGCCACACUGGGACUGAGACACGGCCCAGACUCCUACGGGAGGCAGCGGUGGGGAAUAUUGGACAAUGGGGGCAACCCUGAUCCAGCCAUGCCGCGUGAGUGAUGAAGGCCCUAGGGUUGUAAAGCUCUUUCGGCGGGGACGAUAAUGACGGUACCCGCAGAAGAAGCCCCGGCUAACUUCGUGCCAGCCGCCGCAGUAAGAC